rnacentral:rRNA from 1 species
AUUGAACGCUGGCGGCAUGCCUUACACAUGCAAGUCGAACGGUAACGGGUCCUUCGGGAUGCCGACGAGUGGUGAACGGGUGAGUAAUAUAUCGGAACGUGCCCAGUAGUGGGGGAUAACUGCUCGAAAGAGCAGCUAAUACCGCAUACGACCUGAGGGUGAAAGGGGGGGAUCGCAAGACCUCUCGCCAUUGGAGCGGCCGAUAUCAGAUUAGCUAGUUGGUGGGGUAAAGGCCUACCAAGGCAACGAUCUGUAGUUGGUCUGAGAGGACGACCAGCCACACUGGGACUGAGACACGGCCCAGACUCCUACGGGAGGCAGCAGUGGGGAAUUUUGGACAAUGGGCGCAAGCCUGAUCCAGCAAUGCCGCGUGCAGGAAGAAGGCCUUCGGGUUGUAAACUGCUUUUGUCAGGGAAGAAAUCUUCUGGGCUAAUACCCCGGGAGGAUGACGGUACCUGAAGAAUAAGCACCGGCUAACUACGUGCCAGCCGCCGCAGUAA